UGGAGGGUUGUCCGAGCUGGCCGAAGGAGCACGCCUGGAAAGUGUGUAAACGUCACAAGCGUUUCGAGGGUUCGAAUCCCUUGCCCUCCGU
rnacentral:tRNA from 1 species